ensembl:lncRNA
UUUUCAUUGUCGUUGCAGUGAAGUAAAACCCAUAUGCAUUCCGACAUAAAACGAAAACAAUCGUUCUAAAGCAGAGUUUCAGUCCAAGCGGUGAUAAACAUCUGGCCCCUUCAACGACACUUGACCGAACGGCCUGCGGUGCUUUUUGUCCCUUUGUCCGCCCCGUAGAAACGGGAAGUACAAGAGAAAGCUACUGAAAAAUAAAAACAAAUUGAUGCUAAAACAUCCAAACAUAUUUGUCCCAAAAUGGACAGUCAGAACCCAAAGUCAACGAAUAACGAUUCACGCUGCGUAUUUUUUAACACAGUUUCAGAAGACUACCAAUGUGUGGUGAUUUUAAGGGUAAAACGAGCCACAGGAACCUUCUCCUUAGUAGGAUGCGUUUUCAUGCUCUUUGUGAUUUGGCUGCUUCGCAGGUAUCACUCUCUGGCUCAGAAGAUGAUUCUCAGCCUGACUGUAGCUGCCUUCUUCAACAGUGUAGCAUACGUCAUGGGUGACUCACAUCCAGUGGGAGCUCUGUGUGACUUCCAGGCCUGCUGGUUAACUUACUUUGACUGGAGUGCCUUGGCCUGGGUUUGUCUCAUCACUCUGAACCUCUACCUCAACCUGGUGAGAGAAAUCAGCACCAACCGAUACGAGAUGUUGUACCAUCUGAUGGCGUGGGGGCUUCCUCUGGUCAUGGCCUCCCUGCCCCUGCUAAAGGGCUACUACGGCCCCGCUGGAGCCUGGUGCUGGAUCACAGACGAUCACGUAGCCUGGAGAUUUGGGAUAUGGUACGUGCCUCUGUUCAGCCUCAUCUUCUUGAUGAUCUGCUGCUACGCGCGGAUAAUCUGCGUGGCCACCGCAAGGAUGCAGUCAUGGUUGGGAACCUUCAACCCAGAGAGAGAGAGACGAAAGGUAAUGGCCUGUCCGAGAGUCACAUUUCUCCACGCACGCACACACCGAGCGUGAGGAUUAGAGUGUGUGCAGGAUUAGCUUUGGUGUUCCCGCUGGGUAGGUGUCAAACGGCGGGGAGCAAUUUGACCUUGUGACACUUGUGUGUGUGCGUUUCAUGGGCUUGUGUGUGUCCGUCUGUGCGCGCCAGCCCGUCCAUGCAUAUUUAAAUUUUGGAGCAGCGGCGCCUCUGCUCCUGACCUUACUGAAAGGAAAAGAAGGACAGGGGAGGCUGCCUGGGAAAAAUAUUAAGAUCUAGAGCAGUCCGAUUGUGAAAACAGGACAUGGGCUGCCGGGGAAAAGAGGAGAACGCCUCAACCUCCGGUUCUGCCGAGGGAACCCCGCGCGGCGUGUUACUGUCAUUCCCUCUACGGCCCAGCAGGGGGCGACUCCUCUGGUGGCAGAAAGAAGUCCUAUGUACGAUGUCUCUAUGAUGAAAGUCCUGCUUUGAACAGGACCGUGUUGACAUGCUGUAAAUUGCAAAUACGUCGACCGGGAAUCGUUGUGGUUGUGCAGUGAAGAAGGAAGAAGACCACCAGUGAAAACAACCCGAACCAAACUGCUAUUCCGAAGAGGAGUCAUAAUUAACUGUAACAUAUUAACAGACUUCUGUAUUGCCUUUGCACAAGUCCAGUAAGGAAGAAAGAAAGUCAGGUAAUCCAUUUAUUAUCAGACGACUAACGUUCGAUAUCCUGUAAACUAGGGGUGCCCAACCAACACGCCGCGGACCAGUACCGGUCUGUGGGCCAUAUUGACCAAUCCGCGAUUUAUUGUCUCAUAUGAAAACGGUCCGACGGGCAAAAAAGGUUGGAGACCCCUGCUGUCCCCAACCUGUCAAUCUAAUAACUGGCCUUCUUUGACGUGCAGUUGGGUUUUCAGUGGACUGUUUGUAAUGUCAGUCUGGUGCGGAUGCCAAGUUACAAAAAUUCUGAGAUGCCCGUCCAUGAGCGACAUUUCACGCUGUUACAGAGAAACGUUUGUAUGUAAUUCAUUGUCGUGUGAAGCAUUUUACAUUUAAAAGAAAACAUUCUUUCUGAAAUGUGUUCAAAAAAAAAUUGUCCCCUACAUGUAUGGAAGAGCCGUACUAAUCUGCUGGACAGCAAUGGAUUGAUAUGCAAUCAUUAAUUUCCAUUACUGGUAUCGGGAAGUGGCAUCUAACACCUGCCCACACAGAACUACUGCCCAAUGGUUUAAGCCUUGAAAUCCUGCACAAAGGUGCUCAGGGUCACACUCCUAUUCACCACGCGUCCAGCAGCAGCAGCAGUACCUGUUCUGUUGUUACCCCCCCCCCCUCCAGGGUGCGCUGGGGGGGGGGGGCAGUUUAGGGUUAAGGUUAUGUAGAUGCUGCCCCUAAGUGGCAGAUGUAAUUACUGCACAUUGAACUGGCGUAACCCUCACCGCCCAGACAACACACGCACACACACACACACACACACACACACUGUUCAUGUGGGCUAAUUGCUACGUGUAAAUAAGUCAGCAGGGUUUUUUUUUUAUCACACACUCGUUUCCUCGUAUUUCUCUUCCCCAAUCGCUCUCCUCGUUUCCAUCUGUUUUCCUCUGCCUCUCGCUUCGGUCCUCCUCUCUCUCUCUCUCUUCCCCCCCUACUCUUUUUUGUUCUCUCCUUCCCUCCCUCCGUCUCUCUCCCUCUCUUGUACCCAGCAUGAAUAAAGCAGCAAGCCAGGUUCAUGGACAUGAAUAUUUAUGAGUUUAUGCACGCGCUGCGAUGCUUUAAAACAACAACAACAGCCUCCCCGAUUGUGCUUGCCAAGCCAGCGAGCUCUCUGGCUUGUGUGUGUGUGUGUGUGUGUGUGUGUGUGUGUGUGUGUGUGUGUGUGUGUGUGUGUGUGUGUGUGUGUGUGUGUGUGUGUGUGUGUGUGUGUGGCAGCAGGUGUAAACUAGAGAAAGCGAUUCCUGCUGGGUGUCUGAAGACCGCCGGCUCUGGUUAUUUCCAUUCACUUCGCCACAUCUCCCUCCUGCUGUGCCUCACAUGUUCUCUGUCGCCAUCUCUCUCACACUGUGCCACACGCACACACACACACACACACACGCAUACAAGAGCAUGCAUGCUUCUUUUGUUUUGCAUUCACGCAUGUAGUUUCCUGCGUUCACCAUUCUUGAUCUUUUCUCUCGCUCUGACUCAGCCUGGCACCAUCCCCCUUCUUCGCUGUGUGUGUCUGUCAAUUUGUUUGUGGUCACGCAUGAAUACGCACACACACACACACACACACACACACAGCGCACAAGGUCUUGGAGCAGCAUAGGUAAGUAGGGGGGGGGGGGGGGGGGGGGUAUUUAGAAGAGGGUGUUUAAAUCAGGCCUUCCGAACACACACACACACACACAAAAACAGGCGGACUUCUGAACACGUUUGCCCACACAGCAGCUCGGUCCCGUCGGGUAGCAACAAAGCUGGCUGAGCAAACAGCGAGCUGCUUGUUCGUUAUCUUCCCCGGGUGUUUGUUUACUGAUCCACACAAGCUUCCAGUCACAAUGGGACGUGUCAGCUCGCGUGUCCUGGUGCACGUACGUGACGCUCAACCUUGUUCCUCGCCGAGCGGAAGGCCCUACCGCUCCGUGUAGCCGUCCUUAAUUCCUGUGCCAAAUUUUUUUUUUUUUCCCACACCUCAACGACGCCGUGAAGGCGCCGCGGUGCUGCAAGGACAGUUGGCUUUGUGUCUCCCAGGCGCCGCACGCCGCUCUGCCAGAACGCGCGUACCUCCGUUUGGAGGGAUCGGCGCCCCAGCUGUCAGAUAGCGAGACGCUCUGAGCAGCUCAGUAAUCCUCGCCGGUGUCUUUAACGGGAUGUGUUUGGCUUUUAUCUGUCCUUUUUAUUUGCUACAUCAAUCUCGCCAAAAUUGCCAUUUUGUAGCUUGUCUGGAGCUUUACGUUGUAGAGCCUCGUCUUCGUGAGGUCGCUAAUAAAAAUGAUACGUUUAUAUUUCUAUUUAAACUUUUCCAAAAAGACUCAAUGGUUCAAAAGUAUUUAUCCAAAAAUGACAUUCUAAUUUACUUAUAAAUGCACGCUCUAAAUCGUGAGUAAAACCUAAUUGUGUUAAUCUUGCAGCAGAAGAUUUUAAUUUCUCAUGGAAACGUUUCAUUAUGAAAUUCUAAAUACGUUUGUACCCUGAUUUUAAGUGUACAAAAAUAGCUUGUUUUUUAAGGUCCCUGAAUGUGAUGUUCCCGUUCGCUGGAGCGCCGCUGUUCUCUUUGGAGGAGGUUAUCUCUUUCUUCCUCUCCCGGUGAAGGGGCCCGGUCGCUCCCGACAACGCCCCAGUAAUCUAGCGUGCGUCAUUAAUGUCCGGUCCGCUGCCCCCGGCGCACACAAUUACGCUUUCAAUCCGCGGGGGACGGCGGGGGGGGGGGGGAUGUGAUUAAAAACACCCGGCUCUUUAGCCGCGCUCUCCCUCUUCCUCCUCCUCCUCCUCCUCCUCCUGGUCCACAUCCUGCCUCUUGCGCAUUGAAAUUCCUCAAAUGCCUGCCUCUAUCUACGCCGUACUUCUACCCCCCCACCGCCCCCCCAUCCCAGUGCGUAGACUCCUGGCUCGCCUUUUCCCUACGUCCCAAUGACACAACCUCCACCGCGCGCGCGCACACGCACGCACGCACACACACACACACACAAUAGGCAGAGCUUCCUAUAUGCUUAAUGUUAACCCUUCUGCUCUACCCAACGAGACCCUGCUCGCGUGCACGCGGCGCAGUGGAAGCUCGGCUUUUUUAUUCAAUAUUUUUGAUUUGCACUGACGCACGCGCGCACGUACAUAAAAUGAAAUACCACGGGUGGGUGGGUCCUCGUGAUUUCCAUUAGAAUGGUUAAGAAUACCUUCUCUAGAGCUCGCACGCCUCGGGGUAUUUUCUGGUGAGUAAUUAAUUUUCCAGCAUGUGGGGGGGGGGUGGAGACCGGAGCUCGCGGGCCCAUGCCUUCUGGCUCCGACUGCGCGCGCGGGCGUGUGCGACUGCUACCGCGUCCUAGUUUCAAAUUGGAGGAGGAGGGGGAGGGAGGGUGCGUGUGCGUGUGCGCUCGCGUGUGUGGAGGAAACAGCGCAGCGCAGCGCAGAAAAUCGAUCCAGGGGCCGCGCUUCUCAGCCUCCUUCCGGGCGCACGAGUCCUCUGCGGGGAAUU